rnacentral:misc_RNA from 1 species
GUGACGUUGUUGAGCUUUCGCAGCGCAGGCGGGAAGAAAAAUCAAAACAAAACCACACACAUACACACACUGGACAGCAACUAGAAGGAGAAGCAUGUCUGUCGAGUCUAUCAUGCGGGAGCUCGUGUCGAACUACCUCUCCUACGCGGUGGUGGUGGGGUCGUCGAUUUUAAAGGUGCCGCAGAUUCUGAAGGUAUGGCAUAACCACAAAGCAGAUGGCAUUUCGCUACUCUCGCUCUUAAUAGAGUUGCUCUCGUACAUUAUUUCGACCAGCUGGGGCGUCGUGCAGGGGCUUCCCUUUCGCGACUGCGGCGAGAACAUUUUUAUUACGCUGCAGCUUGUGGUGCUGCUGCUGCUCGUGGCAAAGUUGCAGAAGUCGACGCGUAGGGCGAGCCUCGCGCUGGCGACCGAGUUGUUGGCGCUGUGCGCGUUUGCUAGCGGGCAGGUGCCGCGUACCAUCCACGAGUAUGUGCUAAGCGGACAAGUUUUUUUCAACAUGUUCAGCCGCGUGCCGCAGAUCUACGCGAACUACCGAACCCGGUGCCGUGGCCAGCUGUCUUUUCUCACCUUCUUCCUAGCUUUCGGCGGCGGCGUUGCGCGCGUCCUGACGACGUCUCUGAACGUAUCGUGGGACAAGGGCAAGGCGGUGCUGCUGGUUCAGUUCGGUGUCGCCGCCACGCUCAACGCCGUCAUCCUGGCCCAAAUACUUUACUACGGCAUCGCAGACCGGAGGUUCAAACGGGCGAAGUGGAGUCACGCGAAGGCGAAGUCGCUGAAGAGCCAGUAAGGAAGCAGGCGCGGACGUUUCCCUCUCAACGUGCCGCUGCUCUGGCCUAUCCCUCCUUUAACCACACCUUGUGUGGCACCUCCAUCCCCCCCCCUAACACGGAUACACACAGUUCCCUGCUUCUCAUACCUGUCUCUUCCUCCCACUUUCACCGCCACCCCGCUACUGCGACGGUUGCAGUUGCAUGUGCAAGAGACUGUUAGACGGGUGCAGCCCACUCUUUUGGUCGCGUUCUUUUGUAAUCUUGCCGUCUUCGCGCGAUGCACCCCGCAAAUACGUGCGCCUGCCAUCCAAAGUGGUGACCAAACAGAGGGAAACUAGAGCUCCAGCUCCUUUUCUUGCUCCACGUUUACACUCCCUCCCUUCUGCCUCCUUCGGUGCCCUUCUACCGAGUCUCUCCGCUCCUCUCCGCCUCUCCGUCUCUCUCGCACUGCUGCCGUAUAG